GGGCUCCCAGGUUUCACUCUGGCCUGAACCAAAAGAUAGAGGCUGGAGAAUUCAGGAGAACCUUGCUUCCUGGCGGUCCUUGCAGGGGGUGGGAGCACAGGCCAGCCCAGGAGAGAUGUUCACCUACCUGAGACGACGCAACCGAGGUUGAGCAGCCGCCUGAGGUCGCAGAUGCCGAGCGGUGGCACCCGGAUCAGAGCGCAGGCACGCUGCUCCGAUGCUGGCAGGUCAGCCAUCAAGCAGUUCAACUUUCUCUUCAGUCUGAGCAUUUCCAGAGCCCAACAGCCCUGUGGACUUCUGUUCCCAUGACCCUUCAUCUGUGGACUGAGUGAACACAGAGUCUGGAGGACGGAGCAAAGUAUUUCUCUGUUUCUGUGCAGUUUCCUCUUGGAUGGGUAGGCAACUCUUCCUUGUCCUCCAUCCCUCUUUUUCUACCCUUCUCCCCAUGUCCACCCUCAGGAGCCCGCCCAGCUGCAUCCUCCCCCAACCCUCUGCGUCCAGGCCAGCAGGGCCCAGCGAUCCCUGGUGUCUGAGACUACCAAGUCCCUGUGUUCUGAUCCUCACAUUCUUAAGAGCAGAAGGGCCAUUUAAAAGACAAGCCUCUGUCUUGCUAAUAUUGAUUACCUUGGUUAGAAGCAAACUAAAUAAGGACCCAAAUGAUCUGAAACCGGGGCUCUCCAAGCUGAAAAUGAAAGCAGUAGUACACCAAAGAAGUACACCAUUAUUUAAGAAAUGAGAAUGGAAGGAGCAAGUGGAUGAGACGGAGACAGAGGAGCCCAAACGGCCGUACCUCACCCUGCUAGCCAAAACUCGAAUCCUCAAAAUCUCCUUAUGUUCAGCAGAAAUUCCUUUCCUAUGGAUCAAGUCUGAACUUUGAAACCCACAGAGAAGGGACCAUCUCUUUCCAAUGACAACCCUUAGGCAUCUGUUCUAGAGGAGAAAAAUCCCUAUUUCCUUUAUACAUAUGUUCAUUCUAGGAUGCCAGUUUCCAGGCCCCCAUCAUCCUGAUCAUUCUGCUCUGAUUCACUCAAGUUUGCCAAUAUACUUUUUAAAAUAUGGCAGUAGGAAUUGAAAGUGUUUUUCUCUCGGGAAAGAGUAGUUAUGCUGCAUAUAUAAUGUCUGAACAAGGCAGAGGGAAAGAGAAAUGAUUUUAAGUGAUUUUAAGGAAGUGAGCUUGUAGAUUGGAAAGAUGGUACUGAGGAUGGCAUUGGUGGUGUAGAAAACCUGGGCAUAGUGCUUCAGAUGUAAGAUGACUUGGGGUUGGCUAUGUUUCCUAGUGGGAAACAGGAAAUACAGACCUGGAGAGAGAGUAAGCGAUUAGGACCCAAGGUAUAGUCUGGAAAGUCUUCAGCCUAGAUGUAGAUGGUGGGAGCUAACCCAUUGAGGAAGGGAGAAAUUCCCCUUUGUGGAGUGCCAGGAUGACUGGGCUGUGCCAGAUGUUUUUCUGGUGUUAAUAUCUAAUCUUCACAAUUUUGUAUGGUAGAAAUUACUGCCCUCAUGAGGAGGAUGAGGCCGAUAAAGGUUAAGUAACUUGCCGAGCGCCACCGAAACACUAAGUGAAAUGGCUGGGAUUCCAGCUCAGGUGAGUUCUCAGGGAGUGUGACGAAAGCCUCAAGAACGUGUUCCCAAACCAGUGGUGUCAACUGUGAAUCACUGAGGAGCACUGGCGCGUAAAGGUUUCCCAGGCGGUCUGUAGCCUGAGUGCAGAUUUAGUGUUUAUGAAAUAAAGUCUACAGUUUGCUGGGAGGUCGGGUAGCCCAGAACUUAGUGGUUAGGGACACGGGCUUUAGAGAGACCUGGCUUCAAACUGUAGCUUUGCCCCUUGCUUGUUGUGUGUUCAUGAGAAAAUGUCUCCAGGGGCUGGCCCCGUGGCCGAGUGGUUAAGUUCGCGCGCUCCGCUGCAGGCGGCCCAGUGUUUCGUUGGUUCGAAUCCUGGGCGCAGACAUGGCACUGCUCAUCAAACCACGCUGAGGCAGCGUCCCACAUGCCACAACUAGAAGGACCCACAACGAAGAAUAUACAACUAUGUACUGGGGGGCUUUGGGGAGAAAAAGG
rnacentral:lncRNA from 1 species